rnacentral:rRNA from 1 species
UACAGAGGUCUCAAGCGUUGUUCGGAUUCAUUGGGCGUAAAGGGCGCGUAGGCGGCGUGACAAGUCACUUGUGAAAUCUCUGGGCUUAACCCAGAACGGCCAAGUGAAACUGUUGUGCUAGAGUGCAGAAGGGGCAAUCGGAAUUCUCGGUGUAGCGGUGAAAUGCGUAGAUAUCGAGAGGAACACCAGAGGUGAAGACGGGUUGCUGGGCUGACACUGACGCUGAGGCGCGAAAGCCAGGGGAGCAAACGGG